rnacentral:rRNA from 1 species
UACAGAGGGUGCGAGCGUUGUCCGGAAUCACCGGGCGUAAAGGGCGCGUAGGCGGCUUGAUAAGGUUGCGGUGAAAGCCCGGGGCUCAACCCCGGGUCGGCCGUGGCAACUGUCGAGCUGGAGCACUGUAGAGGCAGGUGGAAUUCCGGGUGUAGCGGUGGAAUGCGUAGGGAUCCGGAAGAACACCGGUGGCGAAGGCGGCCUGCUGGGCAGUGGCUGACGCUGAGGCGCGACAGCGUGGGGAGCAAACAGG